rnacentral:lncRNA from 1 species
AAAUUAAUGAAAAACGUAAAUGACUGUCUUUAUUUUGCAACCAAACACUUUUAAAAUGGCUGACUUCCGGUAUUGACGUAUGUAAUACUGGAAACAAUUUCGGUAAACACACGAUUUUUUUCCCCGAUUUUGACAAUCCUAAAUAAAAUUUAGAAAAAAGUAAAUAAAAUUUGCCGACCUAUCGACCCUAUUUUUUCAAAAGUAUGUAACUGGAACCACACAUAUAUUUUUAUUUGGCC